rnacentral:lncRNA from 1 species
AUGGCAGUGGCAAUUACAUGCAGUUACUGUGAAGCUGGUUUUCCUGAGCGUUAUGUUCUUACUCAGCAUAAGAAGACUGAUAGAGAUGAAAAAAGAUUCAAAUGUGAUCAGUGCAGCUACACAUGCAAGCAGGUAGAAGAUACCUGCCACAUCAUACUUUCGGGGCUGGUACUGGUUUGUAUAAUCCGGAGUAGAAGAAUAAUGUGUAAGCAUGCUGGAGAUUGUGGACUGGUGAUGGCAAAAACUGCUACACCCAGAAAAAGAAGCAAGGGCAGAAGGAAAAAAUGUGAGAACCUAAAGCAUGUUAAGCAAGAAGGUAAUCAGCGAAUAAGUUAG